rnacentral:rRNA from 1 species
CGAGCUGGGUUUAGAACGUCGUGAGACAGUUCGGUCCCUAUCUGCCGUGGGCGUUUGAGAAUUGAGAGGAGCUACUCCUAGUACGAGAGGACCGGAGUGGACGAACCUCUGGUGUUCCGGUUGUUACGCCAGUAGCAUCGCCGGGUAGCUAAGUUCGGAAAGGAUAACCGCUGAAAGCAUCUAAACGGGAAGCCUACCUCGAGAUGAGUUCUCACUAAAUCUUCGAGAUUUACAAAGGGCCCUCGUAGACUACGAGGUUGAUAGGCGGGGUGUGGAAGCGUUGUAAGGCGUUAAGCUAACCCGUACUAAUUGCCCGAGCGGCUUGACCAUAUAACCGGCCGAA